ACAUUUCCCCAAGUCCCCAAUCGUCUCUGUUCCUGGCCUCUCCCGGCGUCCAUAAGGGCGGCGCGGCCCGUGGGGGCGCCUGGCGCGGCGGGCUGUGACAAUGGUGGUGCAGGCGUGCACUGAAUGGCGCUGAGGGCCUAUCCCUUUGUGGUGUUGCAGCAACCUUGGGCCGCGCAGCCAGAGUCCAACGGGGCGACGACUGCGAGCGCUGCCCGCGUCGGCCAUGCCUUCUCCUCCUCCGUCUCAUAGGUCUUCGCUCGGCUUCGUGGUGGUGGAGGUGCUGCUGGUGGAUGUGCCCGUGGUGGUGAUUGCACGCGCCGCGCUGCCCGCGACGCCCACAUGCCUACAUCGCCGUCCUCCCUCCCGCAGCCUCCACUACUUCGAGGAUGUCGAUCAAAUCGGCGACGGAACCUACGGCUUGUCACCCUCAAUAAGAUCCGCGCGAGUAGGUGGUCUCUAGGCACGGACGCGGGAUGCGUGAACGUCGGGUUGCUGAUCCCCCCGGCGACCAGCCUCCAGUAUCCGGUCUGCACCAGCUCCAUGUAUCCCCCUAUCCACCAGAUUGGCAAUGCUUGAUUGUGUGUGUACUGACCUGUAAAAGAAGGUGAAGUGACCAUCAUAUGUGGUGCUGAAUUCAGGAAAUGGUGAUAAUGUAAGGAUCGGGGACUCACUGAGGAACAUGCAUGAUAUAGUUUUGAAGUGUUUGUUGUUUCAGUUUUGAAGUGUUUGUUGUUUCAGAAAUUCACUCGAACAUACCCACAAAAUGUAUCUGUCAUGACCUAUGAUUUUAAGGAGGAUAGGAUUGCACAAUUGCACAGGUCCGCACUCGGGUUCCAAGAAAACAAAAGGUUCUUAAUUACCAGAUAACCCAUCUAGCUACGCCUGCAGCAAAUAAGGUAGCCUUGAAAGAUAAAGCAUCUUUCAUUUCUCAGUUCAUAAAAGAUCUUCUUUUUCCCAUGCCCCUUGGUUAUUUGUGUAAAUGGAUUUUUUUGAUUCAGAUCCUAAAUUGAACAGAUAUGUUGUUUCCUCCAGUUCUUUUUGGGAAAAUUCUAUCAUAUCCAAGGAAAACAUGUCAUUAACAGUGAGAAGCUGAUUUGACUACACUGAAGUGUCUUAUGACACUCUUCCUCCAAAGGAAUACUUAAUUACCUCAGAAUCUAAUCUCUUACCAUUUGUGUUGUUCUUUGGUGUAAAUCGGAUCUAAGCAUGUUCCACAAAAAUACAUCCAUAAAGUAAAAGAGUCCACCUGCCUAAAGGAAAUUUCAAAGAGCAUUGUGUGUUAUCAAGUGUUCUAGACGAGAAACACAUUAAGGACGAGCCAUUCGAACUGAAACUACACAAGUUGCUCUGGUUCAAUCCACUGAUUUUUCUUCUUCAUUGAUUUUCUUAGUUAACUUCUUUGGACAGUUUGGAGGUGGUACAACAUGCUGGAAAAUGCUGAUGUUCAUGCAUGAUGGGUUAAGCAUAUAACUUGAUUUUUCCGACCUUAUUUUCACCUUUUUAUGUUGCUUCUUAAGUUUGUUUCUAGGAUGAUUUACUUCUCCUGCUUCAACUCUAUGCAAUCAGUAUUGUUAACAAAUCCAACUUCCUGCAUCCUAUUGUUUUGUUCAUCUUUCUCCUCGGUGCUUUGGUUCAGGGCACUCACGCAAAAAAGAGAUCAAUUAUUACUUAAAGUUCAAGUGUGAUGUGUAUUUACUACAUGUGAGCAUUAUGGGGGCUGCAUGUGGUGUACUUAGAUUCUAUCAUACAUGAAGUACACGCAGCUAUAUUUGCGACCUGUCAGACUUGGGGAUGCAUAUCUUUGGCAGUUUAGUUAGAAAUAGUUUUCUCAGUGUGAGUUUACAUAUUCAUUCUCUAAGAGAAUGAUUCAUCCGUAUUUCAGUCCCAAGAUAUUGUUUUUGCGACAUGUGGUCCAGAUAUACGAAUGUGUGUAUUACUAUUUGACAUACACAUACAUACCAUAUACCAUGUUGACAGUAAAGUUAGCAUGUUGUCAUAUCUAGCCAACAAAUCAUCAAAUAUGGUUGUUUAAGAACUCAGCAGUUGUUUUGGGGCAUUGCAGAGGUAGUAUUAGGCCAGACAUUGUGGACUUCAGUGAAAUACUUUUUAAAUAAACAGUAUAGGAACACAUAAAUGAUUAAGAUUUAGAUACAACUCACUGGUUUUUCACCGUUCAGGUUAUGAUGUUUUUGAAACUGUAAAAAACUAAGGUGAUAAUACACAUGAGGGAUAUAGAUAUCUUCCACACAGAGUAUUCUGGAAUUGAGCAAAUAUGAAAUUUUAUAGGUUCAGUUUUUUGCUUAACUUAGUCAAGACAUGAGAAUUUUCAUUGUUUUGCUUCAUUAAAUCUCACAAUGAGAAACCUUCUAUUGAGCUAGAGAAAACACAAUAGAUUGUGGAACCGAAAUGUUAGCCAAAGGGUUGGGUGUGGAACGAAGUUGAAACUUUACAACAAUAUCUUGGAGAUGGUUACGCAAGAGAUCUGUAGACCACUUAUUUGUUCUGCUAGCUUCAACUACAUAAUUUUGUAAAGAAAUUUGUUGCCUGCUACAGUUGAUGUCAUGUUGCAGAGCUGAAUAUGGAAGACAAGCUAAAUAUUUGCCUUCUCACCGGAGAGUGAAAGAUGAAUGAAAAUAUCAUAUCUCCCACACGUUUUUGGUAUGAUCUUUUAUUAACUGCUAUGUAAAAGGUGUUUUAUUCAUUUCUUGCAACUGAAUCUUUGUAAGUUACCUAUUUUUCCAUCUAUAUAUAAAUAUGGGUCUCUACAGUGCCGUUCGGUGGAUUGCUGUGAGCUCCUGAUUUCUUCUGUCUUUAAUAUAUAGUAUAGAUUUGCAGCUUUGUGACCUUCUAAAGUAGUUCUAAAAACACAUUUUUUUUACGAAGUUUCAGUUGUGGCCUUGAUUUGAAUAGGCGAGCUCAGGCCGAAGACCAAAGAAGAAGCAUAUAGAGGCUCAAACUUAGAUAUGAAAGCCGCAUGAGCCAUCUAUGCUGCAUAUCAGAAGCAAUGAGAUAUAGAAAGAAGGAGAGUGUCUCCUCGAUUGGAUAUACAACGGCUGCCCAGAUGAUGGCAAAGCUGAGCCUUCCACAGGGAGCUCACCAGUGCCACUAUCUCAUAACACAAUAGGCGAAGGCAAGGAAAUCGAACCAAGCAGAAAGAUUCAAGAUGAUUGUCCUGGCAUCUGUUCUACUGUUUUUACUCUCUGGUUAUUCUUAUUACCAAGUGUAUGUCUUGUUUUAAAUUGAAUUGUACUAUUUUGUUCAUGUUUGAUGGUGUAAUGAAUUUUUUGACGAGAUAUAAACUUACCAGCUAAUCUGCACGUUAAUA